AUUGUUGCAAACCCUAGCAGUAGAGUGAAACACUCUGCCGCCUCUGUCCACUCACUCCUUCUCCUCCGUUUUCUCAACCCGUUCUCCUCCGUCCUAUUCCUCCACCGCCGUCGAACUCAAAGUUUACAAGUCUUCUGUGGAUUUGGCUAACAUUUUGAUCGAUCGAUUUUAUUCUUCAGAUCUACAUGGUUUACAAGUCUUCUUUGGAUUUGGCUAACAUUUUGAUCGAUCGAUUUUAUUCUUCAGAUCUACAUGGUUUACAAGUCUUCUAUGGAUUUGGCUAACAUUUUGAUCGAUCGGUUUUAUUCUUCAGAUCUACAUGGUUUGGUGAAAAUUAUAAUUUCUUUUGUGCUUGUGAAGGUAUGUUUGGUUCUGUUGUUAGCUAAGAGAAUUGAUCCACAUAUUUAUCUUCAGAUCCAAAUGAUAUAUCAUAAUAUCUCGAUCUUAUAAUAUGUCCCUCCUAUUGAUUUUUGGUUUUUGUUAUUUAUUGAUCCAAG